rnacentral:rRNA from 1 species
AUACGUAGGGGGCAAGCGUUAUCCGGAUUUACUGGGUGUAAAGGGAGUGUAGGUGGCAUGGCAAGUCAGAAGUGAAAGCCCGGGGCUCAACCCCGGGACUGCUUUUGAAACUGCCAGGCUAGAGUGCAGGAGAGGUAAGUGGAAUUCCUAGUGUAGCGGUGAAAUGCGUAGAUAUUAGGAGGAACACCAGUGGCGAAGGCGGCUUACUGGACUGUAACUGACACUGAGGCUCGAAAGCGUGGGGAGC